rnacentral:rRNA from 1 species
ACGGAAGGCAGCAGUGGGGGAUAUUGGACAAUGGGGGCAACCCUGAUCCAGCGACGCCGCGUGAGGGAAGAAGGUUUUCGGAUUGUAAACCUCUGUUGAUGGGGAAACUAAUGAUGGUACCCAUUUAGAAAGCCACGGCUAACUACGUGCCAGCAGCCGCGGUAAUACGUAGGUGGCAAGCGUUGUCCGGAAUUACUGGGUGUAAAGGGAGCGUAGGCGGGACUGCAAGUCAGAAGUGAAAAUUAUGGGCUCAACUCAUAACCUGCUUUUGAAACUGUAGUUCUUGAGUGAAGUAGAGGCAAGCGGAAUUCCUAGUGUAGCGGUGAAAUGCGUAGAUAUUAGGAGGAACACCAGUGGCGAAGGCGGCUUGCUGGGCUUUUACUGACGCUGAGGCUCGAAAGCGUGGGGAGCAAACAGGAUUAGAUACCCUGGUA